GACGAACGCUGGCGGCGUGCCUAAUACAUGCAAGUAGAACGCUGAAGGAGGAGCUUGCUUCUCUGGAUGAGUUGCGAACGGGUGAGUAACGCGUAGGUAACCUGCCUGGUAGCGGGGGAUAACUAUUGGAAACGAUAGCUAAUACCGCAUAAUAGUAGAUGUUGCAUGACAUUUGCUUAAAAGGUGCAAUUGCAUCACUACCAGAUGGACCUGCGUUGUAUUAGCUAGUUGGUGGGUAACGGCUCACCAAGGCGACGAUACAUAGCCGACCUGAGAGGGUGAUCGGCCACACUGGGACUGAGACACGGCCCAGACUCCUACGGGAGGCAGCAGUAGGGAAUCUUCGGCAAUGGACGGAAGUCUGACCGAGCAACGCCGCGUGAGUGAAGAAGGUUUUCGGAUCGUAAAGCUCUGUUGUAAGAGAAGAACGAGUGUGAGAGUGGAAAGUUCACAAUGUGACGGUAUCUUACCAGAAAGGGACGGCUAACUACGUG
rnacentral:rRNA from 1 species